rnacentral:tRNA from 2 species
GCGGCCAUCGUCUAGAGGUUAGGACUCCUGGUUUUCAUCCAGGCAGCCGGGGUUCGAUUCCCCGUGGCCGUACCA